UACGGGGGGGGCAAGCGUUGUUCGGAAUUACUGGGCGUAAAGGGCUCGUAGGCGGCCCACUAAGUCCGACGUGAAAUCCCCAGGCUUAACUUGGGAACUGCGUCGGAUACUGGUGGGCUUGAAUCCGGGAGAGGGAUGCGGAAUUCCAGGUGUAGCGGUGAAAUGCGUAGAUAUCUGGAGGAACACCGGUGGCGAAGGCGGCAUCCUGGACCGGUAUUGACGCUGAGUGAGCGAAAGCCAGGGGAGCAAAACGGG
rnacentral:rRNA from 1 species